UCGAUAAUUUGGCAAAUUACUCCUAUUCGUUCUCAGUACCAUAUCCUGGGUUGGUUGAAAGUUCUGAUUUUUGAAAAGCUAGGGUUUGAAACAAAAGAUCUGCGCGCACGGGUUCAAUUACUCUCCCAGAAGAUGGAUGGCUGUACUUCACAAUUCAAGAUAAUCUUGGGAUCAUCUUCGGUAGCCCGUCGGAAAGUGCUAGCUGAGAUGGGAUAUGACUUCACAAUCAUGUCUGCAGACAUAGAUGAGAAAAGUAUUAGAAAAGAAAAGCCAGAGGAGUUGGUGAUGGCCCUUGCAGAGGCAAAGGUAGGUUUUUCCUUUUGAAUACUAACAAUUAGAAUAUGAACCUUGUCAAAAUUACAAACUGUAUUUGUGGUUUAUAUGUUUUGCUCCAGCUUUAGGAUACAGUCACUGUUUCUUUAGUUAAAGUAGUUGAAGAUGUUGGGUAUCUGUUAAAUCAUGGAAAAGCAAUAUGUUUGUACAAAUUCGUAUGUGUCGUUACUGCCUUUCUUGU